GAUUCAGCAGCUGGGACUGAGCAUGUUUGGCCCGUCCGGCCCUGCCCCUGACCGCUGUGUGGGGUUAAUAGCGUUAAUGGAAAGUGUUCCGGAUUGAGCGAGGGAGCAGGGCCCUGGCAGGGUCACUUUCCAUUAGGGACUGCCAAGGCUGAUGUCACCAGGACUUGUAUUUUGCUGUCUGCCUCUCAUUCUUUUAGGUGCAGAAUGAUGGAAUAAUCCGACUGGGUCGGUUUUGCCAAGGUGUGUUUCUCAUCUUUCACUCAGGUACAAGAAACAGCUUACGUUCCUCUUUUGAAUUCGGGGUGAAGCUGGUGGGCAAGAGACAGCUGUGCCCUCUAGACUGGCCCAGGUGGAAAUUUCUCUUCAGGUUUUUACAAGGUAAACAUCUUCUGUUUCCUGCAGAACUGCUAUAAAACUGCCUCUCGGGUAUUGUUUGCAUCUGCUG
rnacentral:lncRNA from 1 species